rnacentral:rRNA from 1 species
GACGAACGCUGGCGGCGUGCUUAACACAUGCAAGUCGAGCGGUAAGGCCCUUUCGGGGGUACACGAGCGGCGAACGGGUGAGUAACACGUGGGUGACCUGCCCUCAGCUCUGGGAUAAGCCCGGGAAACUGGGUCUAAUACCGGAUAUGACUCCAUGACGCAUGUUGUGGGGUGGAAAGCCUUGUGCGGCUGAGGAUGGGCCCGCGGCCUAUCAGCUUGUUGGUGGGGUGAUGGCCACCAAGGCGACGACGGGUAGCCGGCCUGAGGGG